GACAGAGGGGCAAGCGUUGCUCGGAAUUACUGGGCGUAAAGGGCGCGUAGGCGGGAUGGCAAGUCGGAUGUGAAAUCCCUCGGCUCAACCAAGGAAGUGCAUCCGAAACUGCAGAGCUUGAGUACCAAAGAGGAUCGCGGAAUUCCCGGUGUAGAGGUGAAAUUCGUAGAUAUCGGGAGGAACACCAGUGGCGAAGGCGGCGAUCUGGGUGGAUACUGACGCUGAGGUGCGAAAGCGUGGG
rnacentral:rRNA from 1 species